AUUCAGAGUCAUGGGAAAGGAUUUCGAGAGAAGAAACCUCCUGUGGUAAAGUGGCCUGAGUCAAAACGGCACAUCCAGUCAAACUGGCAGCUGAAAGAUCUGGAAAUCCCCUGGAAAUACAUUCUGGGAUACACAAGGUGACAUGUGACAGAAGGGCAGUCUGACAGAAUGGCAUCUGACAUGGCAGCACAUAUGAAGAUGUGUCACUCUACACAUGCCUCUUCCACAUGCCUCCAUGCGGAAAAAAUGGCACCCACUGACAUUCAUUGACACCUGCUGAACAUCUGUGGAGUCCAAACAGUGAAUAGAAGAGAUAAAGCUAAGCGUGCAUCAACUGAAGCAUGAUGGCAGGCCAGAGACAUCUGAAUUAAUACGCAGUCCAGGGAAGAGCUGCACACUGUG
ensembl:lncRNA